AGAGUUUGAUCCUGGCUCAGAACGAACGCUGGCGGCAGGCUUAACACAUGCAAGUCGAACGCCCCGCAAGGGGAGUGGCAGACGGGUGAGUAACGCGUGGGAAUCUACCGUGCCCUGCGGAAUAGCUCCGGGAAACUGGAAUUAAUACCGCAUACGCCCUACGGGGGAAAGAUUUAUCGGGGUAUGAUGAGCCCGCGUUGGAUUAGCUAGUUGGUGGGGUAAUGGCCUACCAAGGCGACGAUCCAUAGCUGGUCUGAGAGGAUGAUCAGCCACAUUGGGACUGAGACACGGCCCAAACUCCUACGGGAGGCAGCAGUGGGGAAUAUUGGACAAUGGGCGCAAGCCUGAUCCAGCCAUGCCGCGUGAGUGAUGAAGGCCCUAGGGUUGUAAAGCUCUUUCACCGGUGAAGAUAAUGACGGAACCGAGAAGA
rnacentral:rRNA from 1 species